rnacentral:lncRNA from 1 species
AUGGCAACGCCACCUCGCCAGAGGAGUGUUCUAAUUUACCAGUUUCUACUCCAGAGGAAACCCCGUCCCCAGAGAAGUUCAGUGACUUGUGGGAAAUCCCAGAGAGAUAGAAGUGAAACCUCUAUCAGAAGGUCAGACGCCAUCCCGAGGCAGCGACUCGUGACAGUUGGACAGCCCCACAGCCAACACUGCUGCUUCAUCCUUCCGAGCAAUCAGUGUCUGCAGGUGUGGGACUUGCCCCAUGCCACCUCGGUGGGUGGGUCCUUUGAAGAUGGAGUGAGUUGGGGCAUAUAAAGGGUUUAAAGCAAUGUCUGUCAGACAAAGCACCCAACCCAAGGUGAGUAUUCUUUCUGUCAGUGUCUCUGUGUCUGAGCUUGCUACAGUUUCUUCUUUGUCUUUUCUGAACUGAAGAAUCUGAAGUCUAGAUAAGGGAAGCCCUUCCUCCUGAGUCAGCCCUGCUUGUGAGCAUGCAGCCAGAGGCUGGUGCAGCCCAAGGUCUGUCAUUUCCCACCACCUGCCUCUUAGCAAGCCAUUCUCUCUUUUAAACCCCAAGCUGUACAGGGAACACAGUUCUUGAGAUGACCACCAAGAACAGCAGCAGCAGUGGAGUAAGUACAGGCAGCUGGAGCCUAGAAGACAAGUGUGUACUACACAAGGCAGAGCUGGAGAAGUGACCCAAGCCCUUGGAGGAGCCUAGACAAUCAUGAGUGGAUCCCAGACAUUGGACCGUUGGAGUUUGAUUUUGCUUUUGAUUUGUGACUGUGCCCUGAUAUUUUUUUCCCUCUUGAAGUAAGAAAAUAUUUUAGUGGAGGCCACAGGUAAGAGACUUUGAAUUUUAAAAGAUACUGGAUAUUUUAAAGGGAUAGAUAGAACUUUCAAUAUGUAAAGACUGUGGGACUCUUAAAGUUAUUUAGAUCUUGGACAUGAAUAAGAAAAUAAGGGUUGAGGCUUAACAGUGAUAGUUUGUGUGUCAAGUUGACAAGGGGUCAACUGUACUGGCUGGUUUUGUGUGUUGACUUGACACAAGCUGGAGUUAUCACAGAGAAAGGAGCCUCCCUUGAGGAAAUGCCUCCAUGAGAUCCAGCUGUGGGGCAUUUUCUCAAUUAGUGAUUAAGCAGGGAGGGCCCAUUGUGGGUGAUGCCACCCCCUAUGGAAGAGUCAUUCGACCCCAAAGGGGUCGGGACAAGUUGAGAACCACUGAUGUAAAAGAAAUGGUCACCCUAUAGACAAGGUUGUUGCUUGAGGAAGAGAUGAGCAGAGAGCUCAGAGUCAGAAGAACCUAGCCAGGGUGGCUGAGAUUUGCCUGAAAGCUUUUGAACAAAUCAUCAGCCAUCUCCAGGUGUGUGCCCUGGGCUGAGGAACGCCCGUGCCCUUUGCUCGUGACCACAAGAACUAAACAAGAAAACUGUUGCAGAAGCAAGAGCUGUGGGGCCGAGAAGGUGGCUGUCGGUAAAGAGCUUUACAGCACAAGUGUGAGUGCAUGAGCUUGUAACACACACACACACACACACACACACACACACAUACACACACACACGUAUACACAAACUCCCUCUGUGGUCUAAACUAUUACAUAUGUUUAAACCAUUAAUAGGACAAAGCACCCUGCAGCUAUAGAUGACACUAAAUCAUAAAAACAGUGGGUACGCCCUAGUUACCCCAAGUCCUCUUCUCUACUCAUUCCCACCUAACCAUUAUGAAGGCAGGGAAACUUAGCCGCCAACCUAUUUUGUAGUUCCUGUGACUCAGUGAAGUAUGGGCUCAGGACGUGGACAUCAGGUCACACGGACCUGCUGUUCCAUUGACCUGUCAAACAGUCCACAGACUCAAACUCAAGUAAUAAAAUGCUUCUAUUACAUACA